UACUUGGAAUUUGAUGCUCUGAGAGCUUUCUAUGAGUCAUGAGGAAACAUUAAAGGGAGUGUGGUAGUCUCCUGUGACAAAAGUCUACAGGCAAAUAGAACAUAAGCUUCCUUACUCCAUCAACAAUUUAAUAUAAAAGAACAUUUUAUGUAAGCGUGCUAUGGUGUUCAAAGGGGGAAACUGAAAGAGCUUUCCAAUAUUGGAGAAAUUAAAGCCAUAGAAGUUCACAAUAGAUAAUAGUAGCAGAAAUUUGGACUUUGGGGGCCAACAUCAUAGGUUACUAGGACAUUACCUGCCGGUGGUAAGUAAGCUGUGUCUCUUGCUCAAUCUCAGAAUCCAGUUCUGGAACAUCAGACAGAUCUGAAUCUGAUUCAUCACUGUUGGACUCAGCCAGACUUUCUGUAAAUGUUUGUAAGACAAACAUCAUUUGUUCAAAAGAGUUACUUUCAAAACAACAGUGUAAAAUUAAUGAUUAAGAGAUGACUCUGUCAACCUGACAAGGAAACAAGCCAUAAAAUAGUUAAAUGAAAUGACCUUGUCAAGUGACACUGAUGUCAGUCAACUGUACUACAGAUUAUCUACCCGUCCAAUCACCGAAACUCGAUAGCUCCUUUAAAUCCCCCCAAUAGAUGCUACACUAAGUGUCUGUGCAGAUAUAAUUGAAUAUAACUUAUAAUCAACACGAAAAACAGCUAAAAUUACUACAUACAACAGAUGAGUUGAUAUUUUCUUGAUUUUUAAAGCAUAUAAAAACCUGAGAACCCAUAUCUUCAAGAUGAAACACUGUUGGUUUUGCUAGCAGAAUUAUUUCACUCAUUUGACAAGUUAAAUUUCCACCCAAAUUCUUCGUAUAGCACCCUCCGUGGUACCUGACUUUAAAGAUAUACAUGUUCUAACAGGAAAUUUCUGCUAGUAAGAAGCUUCAAUGGUAAAAGUGCUAGUUUGGAACUAUGGAUGGGGGAGCUGUUUACGCUUACCUUGCGGUGCUAUGUGAAGAGCAUCUUUUAGUUUUCUCUCAGGAAUAAAUUUCCACUGAAAGACAGAAUGAUCUGCUCCACCAAUAGAGAUAACCCACUGAUAAUCAUGUGACCAUCUGACAUUAGUUACAUGAGCUGAAUGGCCAAUGUACUUUCUAAACUUGGCCCCUGUAACAAAAGUAUAUCUUUAAAUUAAUAAAAAGCAACACACACACACACCACCUUAAACAACAACUACUGUAUCCAAACUAUUAUAACAUCACAACACUGAGUAUGACCAGAUGGGAAAAUGAUCUUAAAAUUAGUUAAAAGAAGAAAUGAAUGAACUGAGGGGUAUAUUUCUCUUACUUAUUUUACAAUAUAGUUUAGAGGGAACUACAAAAACUGUGAGGAGUUCCUAUUGCUGAAGACCCUAUGUACUUUGGACACAGGGCUUGGAAGAAUAGUUAGAUGUGCCUUAAAAGCUACCUUCCUGGUGACCAGCUUUCAUGAUACCAGGAGGUGCUAUACAGGCUUCCAAGGGAAGCAAGCUCAACAGUCCCCCAGCAGUGACACCUGGGAACUACAGCAAUGAUCAUCGCAGGAAGAUAAUCCCUAAAGGUGUAACCAACAGCUGUAUAACUGGACUCAAGGCCUGCUCACCAGGAGAGGGAUCAUGACUAGUCCUGAAAACCUCCCCAACCACCCACGGCUCCUGAGGUCACAGAUGUCAGAAGAGAACCUACUAGUGCCACUUCCCUCAGCUAGGCUUCUAACGGUUGUCUAGUUACUUAUCCUUACACCCACAGAUAAGUGUACCUCCUAAUCCUCAUCAGAGAGUCCUGAUUGCAUCAAAAUGUGGGGAGCCCAGUCCCAACUGUUACAUCUACAACACAAUCCUUAUACCCAAGGCUUGGGGAAUGUUAUACAAGAACUGUCAGAACCCGGCAAGUCCUCUACAAGAUUGAAUCUUCUAGAUGGUAGAAAAGCUUCACCCAUGAAGCCUCAACAAAAUGGCUGCUAAAACAAGACCUGCACAAUGACAUUAGUUGGCAUGCUAACAUAGAUGGUGGGAGUGGGAUUGAAUGUGGUCUUACUGCUAAAAGAGUUAUAGGCAAUUACAAACUAUGAGAGAAGGAGAAUCAGUCAUCCUCAGAGAUGGGCACCCUAAAUUUUAUCCAACCCCAAGAGGUCAGCCAGAAAAACAAACAAAC
rnacentral:lncRNA from 1 species